CAGGGAUGUCCACUUGUCUGUGGUUCUUCGUGACGUUUCAGGGUUAUACCUUACUUGUAAGGAAGUUUGAAUUUGCAGGCAUUUCCCUAUUUGUCACUAACGUUCCUGAUUUAUCAGGAAUUCUAGUCAGUGUAGUUUUAUCGUGUUGCAGCGUUACCCAGAACACAUUCGCAUAGUUGGUCACAUAAUAACGAUGCCUAUGUGAUAUGAAUGGGAUGUUCCAUUGUGGUCAUCUUCGUUCCGCUAAAGUUCCUGCAAAAGUUCCUGUCGCGUUACUAAAGGUUUUGCAAAUGUUGUGGGGACAUAGAGGGAACGCCCAAUAAUCCUAAUUGUUCCAACAAAGUGCUUAAUGUUCCCUGGUAGUCCUCUAGAUACCCUCCCCCUGCCACAUUGUGACCAUCUGGGAAUGCUGUUUGAGACCCAGUAUUCUCAUGCUAAGGUAGCAUGCUUGCUUUAAACAAACACAUUGUCAGAUUGUAGAACCGUGCCUGAACCCCUUCCUCCAGGCUUCCAAAAACCUUUUGCACUUUGAAAAGCCCAGUCUGAAACUUUUUGUAACUUCCUCUUGAAUGAAUAUCACCCCUCUUUAAAGUGGAGCAUUGCCAGUCAGCACUUUGUACGAACUAUCAAACCCCCGGAUGGCGGGUCUGAUGGGGAGGCAGUGGUCUGGGAAAUGAUCUAAAUCUCCAAAAAGCUCAAAAAAGGUUUGCAGUGUUUUUAAUGAAUGUAUUUAAAGACUUUACCAGCGCAAAGAUCCUUGAAUUAGUCCUUGACAGGUUCUCCACGUAAGAGAGUUAAAACAAUAUUUAAAAACAGCGGCAUUAGUCAUCACCUCUACAUGGUGAAUAUAUGGGUGUAAUUAAAGCUUUUCUCUGGAACACUGAUCCCUCGGGGGGAAUUUAAAGAUGAAUACAGACGAAUAAAGAAUCCCAAUCAUGACAGAGAGAGAUCCUCCUGAAGCACUGUCUCGGAUUUUUAAUCAUCACACAGUUUCCUGUGUGAGACGAGCUCAACUCAUGUACUGACGAUUAAUUCAUUUUUCUUCAAUAGUUAAAACGUCUAUUUAAUCCAGUCAGAAAAAUACCUAAUUACAAGUUUUCUGUUCAUGAUUUCAAUGGUUUGAUUGUGUGAGUGACAACUGAAAUUCCUCCAUAAUCUUUAAAUAAAGAUGGACCACACUUCUUCACCUGACUUUAGACUUUAUACAUAACACUUAUAUAACUCAAUAUUGACAUCUUUUACAGAUACAACGGCAUCAUUUCAUAACUUUGCGUGUCAGGACUUCAAAAGUUUAGUAUUGUCCGAAAUAUGGGUUUGAUCUAUGUGCCAAGCCCACAACUUUUCCUUUUCCGAAUCUUUCUGUAGUAAUAUUGUGGACAGUAUCGUGUAUAUCCGUCUGUAAAUCAUGACUUUUCUUCGUCAAUCAUCAGCAUUGUUUCAAGGUCUAAAGCCAAAAAUGCUGCAUUUUCUUUUGGAGAUCUUUUUUUAUGUUUUCUGUAAUCACUUUGUCUCUGUGACUGUGUGGGUACCAGCAGCCCUCGGGAACUGGAUUAUGAUCUAUAAACGUUCAUGUGAUUGUGUUUCAUAUAAACUGCUUGUGUAGUUACUCCAGUUUGGCUUUGAUCGGAAAAGUGACAGGCCAGAAAAACAAACCAACGCACUUGUUUAUUGUCCGUCAAAUUUGUUUUGACGGACUGAUGAUCCAAAUAGUCUUCAGACACUUUCAAACCUCCGCCGAGCCUCCGUCCCGUGUGUCCCAUGUGUGCCUCCUUUUUAUUAGUGUUUACUAAGCAGAAGGGAAAUGGUCUGAGUUAUGUUCCAUUUUCUGCCCGUUAGAGUUUCCCCCUCUGAAUCGCUGCCUGCUGCCGUCUGAUGCCACGGUGGAGUAAGUGCACACAUUAUUCAGCAUCUCAGCAGCUGCCUCCUUCCUCACCCCCUCUGCCACCUCUAGUCCCAUCAAACGACCGGCGCCAUAAAGCGGAAAGAAAUGGGCGCAGCGACAGCGGUGUCAAUAAACGCUCCGUGUGAUUUCCCCUCAGAUGCAGAGCAGCGAAUCAGUGGAACGACUCGUUUCUAUGGUAAUUCUGAGACAUUUAUUUCCCCGAUACGAGAAUGUGCCAUUUCCGUUGGUGCACAUUUCGCACAGAUCGAAACCACGACUCAGCUACGCUCGCCUCGCUCUCUCUUGUCUCGCCCUCAAAGCGGCGGCAUUUGUACCUGUGCAGGUGUUGACUCCGGCUCUGAGAUCAUCACGCCGCUGCUCUCUGGUUGGUCCGUCUUGGCAUUGGUGACGGUUCUAGCUCUACUUGGUGACGUCCUAGUUCAUUUUCUUCUCGCAUGUGUUCCUUCCACCGUUCUAAUCGAAAGCUGACGCUAUCUUAUCUCUCAUGGUGACAGAUUUUCUCUCACCGCUGACGUGAUGACGAGCGUAACGUUAACCGUCCGUGUUGCAUUUCUACCUCGGUGAGAUCCGUUUGCACAUGUAGAUACAGAUCGCAGUUUACCACCAGCUUACAGGUGAUGUCUGUGUGUUAAUAUCUGAUCGGAGUCUGACUGAGCGUAGGGCUGUUACGCAGUGAACCAGCGUAUAGUGUUGGUUCACUGUCACCGGUAAAAACCUGAGCACUGUUUAAAAAAGCUUCGGGUUGAACAUAAUUACCUUCUGAAUUCCCCCGCGUCGUCUCGCUGACGACCCGGGAACCUUUAUCUGACAUUAUCUUCGUGGCAUUUCUACGUUAUUAGGAAAAGGGGGAUUAACAUGGGGCCCAGCGGGAGCCAGAUGAGGGAUGACACAUGGCAAAGGUCACAUGUCGGACUCGAACCCAGUGACGUCAGGGCGGCGGCGACAGUGCCUCGCCGUGACCCGACAGCCCCUGAGAAACACACGAAGAAGACUCAAAAAGAAGAAAACCUUCGUCGUCUGCUCUCCACGGCGGACCUCCUCACCAUAACCUUUGUUGAAUAAAUCCUGUUGCCGAUUGGCUGCAGCGAUAGCAGUGAGGGAAAAUGUCACCGUGCGAUGAAGAUACAUGGGUUGUGCUGUUUGUUUGGCGUCCUUGAGGUGUGUGAUUGCGCACCGAUCCAUCCCGUCUGUCCUUGACUACUCUCUGUCCUUGUCUGAUCUCUUAUUUACACGGGACGAUGGUUUCUUGUUCUCGGAAUGAGGUGAUUUCAGAUGCGACGCGUUGCGAGCUAAGGUGCGACAGUUCACAUCUUCAAGGGGAAGUAUGUCGUGAAGGAGCCGAGUGGCCUCCUGCUACUGUGUCCCUCCGCCCAGACGAGAUAAUCUUCUAAAUGCAUUUUGUAAAAGUGCUCCAGUUCUGACCAGGUCACGACGUUUCUCUGAAUGAAGGAAGAGGAAGUGGACCAGCUGCUGUUUAUCCGUCCCUCCACCUACACGAUGAAAACCUACUGGCCGCCGCCACUUGCUGCGUUGGCAGAACCGAGGCGACGAGUCGAGGAAGACGAGGACGGUGGACGAAGGUCGACGAGCAGAUUGCCUCAUUUUCCCCGGGCGGCGAGGGGGCGGGGCUUCGGCAACAUCAUCAUGGAGACAGGAUGGAUGGAUGUAAUGUGGUUUCCUCACACACAGACGAUACAAAUCCAUCAUCACGUCGCUCCUCAUCCCUCUGAAACCGCCACGAGCAACUUAAAACGUCCCGAGGGACGCCGACAAACACACACACACACAUUAGUGAUCCUUUUCUUCAGCACGUUGCACAGCUCCCCUGGGACUCUGUUCUUUCACUGGCGGCCGUAGGGACUCAUCCACAAUUCCUCAAAGUUCCUCAUUAGCCAGCUCACACACACACGCACCAUGAUGCUGUAAUAAUCCUCUGUGCUCUGGCCCGAUGACAGGCUCGCCGCUCUCACCUCUGGCAGUACCAAGGGGAGGGUCUCGGACAUUCUCCAUACGGAGUCUGAUUGACGGGGCGAUGCAAUCGUGACAUCAUCCUAUAGAAGAUUCACAGUGACAUGCGCUGAAGUCUCAUCAUCUGAGUUACAGAUCAGCUGGGGGGCGACAAAAAAUCCUCAGUGGUUUCAGAGGCCAGAGAUUUUAAAACUCCAAAACGGUCCAGUGAAACUGGAGGAGGCGUCGUCGUUCUUCACGGCGGAGACAAGAGAGAAGGACGACCCGCAAAUAACGUGUCACUGGAUGAAGGGAAACUCGCCUCCGGAUUGAUUGAAGAGUUUCAGAAUAUGAAUUUAUCAGAUUGUUUGUGCUGAAGAUCACGGCCUAAAGAAGAAGUGUAUCUUCACGUCUAAUUAGCUGCAGCAGCUUCCAGCCUGAUCACACUCGGCUCGUUGACCUAUCGAUGAUCAGAUGCCCCCGUCGCCGGACUAAUCCCGAAGGAUUUACACAAAAAACCCACUGAACGGAUUUCCAUGAAAUCGGUGGAAGGAUGCGACACCAAGAAAGAAUCGGUUCGAUGUUCUGGACAAAGAGGCAGAUCCAGGAAUUCUUCCUAGGAGCCGCGUCACUGUCCCCGCGGCUGGCGUCCGUUGUGCGCGGGAGGCGCAGGGAGGAGAGCCUGGAUCUGCGAGCACCGGGACCCGGACUGCGCGCUGCUGAACCGCGACCCGGACACUCCGACGCAGAGCUCCGGCUUUGGUCUCCACCUCCAACGUCAGGCUCUUCAGCUGCUCAAUGAUCCACUGCAGCAACACGACUCUGAGCUGCACAGUUGGUGGGAAUGGUCUUACAGUCAUAAGCUGCUAACCCCUUCAUUUUGACUGACAGGUCAAUGAUUGGAAGGCUGUGUGAGAGAUUGUGUGUGUGUGUGUGUGUGUGUGUGAAAUGCCGCUGGCGGCCGCACAUGUAUGAUCGGACAUGGAGGCCGUCAGCGCAGCCAACGACACGGGGAACGAGCUCCGCCUCCUGCCCGACGACGACCCGGGCAACCUCGCUUACCGCGACUACGACUCCACCGCCGCCGUCCUGCCGACGCUGGUGUUCGAGGGGGUGAACUUCCCGGAGGACCCCAUCAGGCUGCUGAGCGUGCAGGUUGUGUUGAUUCUGGCCUACAGCACCAUCAUCGUGCUCGGGGUUCUUGGCAACUCCCUCGUCAUCUAUGUCAUCUACCGAUUCAAGUCGCUCCGCACCGUCACCAACUUCUUCAUCGCUAACCUGGCUGUCGCCGACCUGCUGGUCAACACGCUGUGCCUCCCCUUCACGCUCGUCUACACGCUGCAGGGCGAGUGGAAGUUCGGCGGCACCCUGUGCUUCCUGCUGCCCUACGCCCAGGGGCUCGCCGUGCACGUCUCCACGGUGACGCUCAACGUCAUCGCCCUGGACCGCCACAGGUGCAUCGUGUAUCACCUGGAGACCAGGAUGCGGAAGGACGUGUGUUUCGGCGUGAUCGCCUUGACCUGGGUGCUGAGUGCCGUGCUCGCCAGCCCGCUGGCCAUCUUCAGAGAGUACGGCUCGUUCACGCUGGAGCCGGGACACACCAUCCAGGUCUGUACGGAGAAGUGGCCCGGGAAAAGCACCGACGGCACCGUCUACAGCAUCUCCAUGCUGCUGCUGCAGUACUUCCUGCCGCUGUCCAUCAUCUCCUUCGCCUACGUCCGCAUCUGGUCCAAGCUGCGCGGCCACGUCAGCCCGGCGGAGAGCGGAGGCGCCGGCGCCGGGUCGGAGCGCCACCGCCGGCGCCGCAAGACCACCAAGAUGCUGGUGACCAUGGUGGUGGUGUUCGCCGUCAGCUGGCUGCCCUACCACGCCUUCCAGCUGGCCACCGACAUCGACAGCGCCGUGCUGGACAUGCGCGACUUCCACCUGCUGUACACCGUCUUCCACGUGGUCGCCAUGUGCUCCACCUUCGCCAACCCGCUGCUGUACGGCUGGAUGAACCGCAACUACCGCGCCGCCUUCCUCGCCGUCUUCAAGUGUCGCCGGGGCGGGGAGAGGGGGCGCGGCGGCCGGCUGGACAGCAUUCACCCCGUUGGGCCACGCGGAGGCGGAGGACGGGCAAAGAAGGUCGUGCUGGAAACCCAGGAUGUGGUGUCGACCCGCCUGAACGCCACCGACGUCAGCGGCUCAGUGGACUUGAGUUCCGUGUCUUUUGCAGUUGAGCGUCACGCGGAGGAAAGACGGAUCGACGUCAUCUGGUUCGCUCUGGAUCCCCAAAGCCGUCCCACAAUGCAGUGCGUGGAAACAUGGUGGUGCGCUCUUGUCAACACACUUGGGAACUGGUUACUUCUGGGCUCUUUGAGGCUCCGUUCCACACCGUCUCGGUUUCAUCCGUCGGAUGGUUUUGAUGAUCCCGUCUGGAAGCUCCAGCAGGUUUACUUGAAGACGACAGCAAGUUUCAACAAGGUCGUCUCCUCCCAGUUGGACCCGUCCGGUGAACAUGGCAUACACAGGCUCAAGGUCUCCUGAAGCGCUCGCCUGAUAAAGCGCCUGGUCGUAAACUGGGACUUGUCGAGACUCCGACCUUCUGGGGCGCCCUCGAAAACCGCGGGCGCUGCUGCUGACAUGGAGGAAGCUUUGAAAUGGCAUCGUUCCGUCCUUCAGGAGACGUGACGAUACGCAUGUGCAAGCGGUGAACAGAUGAAGGAGCUGGUUCCUAUCGCGAUGUCGUCUCAGACGUUCCUCAUCUCACGAGUGAGGAUGAGGAUUCUCUCCAGUGUCCUUCACAUGAUCUGAAGAAGAGGCUUCCUGCCGGGACCUCGUCUCUCUGCAAACACUGACUGGAAUCCUCCAGUGUAACCAGAAAACACACACACCGCCGAGGCAAUUUGUGUGCUAAUGCAGACCAGAGGCUGUGUGUGUGUGUGUGUGUGCCUGAGUUAUUAACUUGUCAAAGGGUUCUGAUGAAGGAGAGGGAGGACGUAAACCUGUAAUCUUCCAGGUCACCAGAGACAAGGAGGACGUGCGUUGGCUAAACGUUCGCAGGAGAGUGUGUGUGAAAAUGAGGUCAAAAUGUCGAGCCACAACAAGCGGUUGCGGUUCACAGCCUGAAUACUAACAAGUGAAUUUAAAACGUUUUCCUUAUCAGAACA